GGCAGCGAGCGUAUAGGCAUAUGGUCUUAGCUUCCGGCUACCUUCAAUAAUUGAUGUCCUGCCACUCACAUUUUUGUAAAAACUUUGCUUGUUAUCCAUUUACCUCUUUCAGGAUGUCUAUGUGCUCCUGAAAUAUUCUUUCAAUGACGAUGAUAUCAUCCAUCGCCUGAUCAGACCAGAUUUCUUAUUCAGUAUUUUGCGGCGGAUAGUGCACUUACAUACUUACUUCACUUAGAACGGCUGCUUCUCCAGUUUGCCUCCACGGCGUCUCGGUCUCACUUGCAGAAUGAUGUCCAGCAAUAGACUCUCUUCCGUCUGUUUAUAUGGCUGCGGAUUUUAUGGCUUAUGGAGAAGUGAUUAUAUUAUUCCAACUCAAUUCUUUUGAGGUAUAGUCUACUAAUAUUCAAAAUGCCUUUAAAUAUGGAUGUGUAAGUGGAAUAACCAUAGUUCCAAAACUAACUAGUAUAAGAAUCAAUUAUAUUUUGUUAUAAAUAAACGAAUCAU